UACAGAGGGGGCAAGCGUUAUUCGGAAUUAUUGGGCGUAAAGGGCGCGUAGGCGGCUUGGCAAGUGGAAGGUGAAAUCCCUCGGCUUAACCGAGGAACUGCCCUCCAAACUGCUUCGCUUGAGACCGGGAGAGGUGAGUGGAAUUCCCAGUGUAGCGGUGAAAUGCGUAGAUAUACGGAGGAACACCAGCGGCGAAGGCGGGUAGCUGGGUCAACACUGACGCUGAUGCGCGAAAGCUAGGGUAGCAAACGGG
rnacentral:rRNA from 1 species